AUCAACUUUCGAUGGUAGGAUAGAGGCCUACCAUGGUAGUAACGGGUAACGGGGUGUUAGGGCACGACACCGGAGAGGGAGCCUGAGAAACGGCUACCACAUCCAAGGAUGGCAGCAGGCGCGCAAAUUACCCAAUCCCAACACGGGGAGGUAGUGACAAUAAAUAACAAUACGGGGUUCUCAUGGAUCUCGUAAUUGGAAUGAGUACAAUUUAAAUCUCUUAACGAGGAACAAUUGGAGGGCAAGUCUGGUGCCAGCAGCCGCGGUAAUUCCAGCUCCAAUAGCGUAUAUUAAAGUUGUUGCAGUUAAAAAGCUCGUAGUUGAAUUUCGGGAUCAAUUUAUCGGUCGUGCCAAUGGUAUGAACUGGUACAAUUGGUUUCUCCCUUCUGAAGAACUAUGAUGUCAUUAACUUGGUGUUGUGGGGAAUCAGGACUGUUACUUUGAAAAAAUUAGAGUGUUUAAAGCAGGCUUAGACUUGAAUACAUUAGCAUGGAAUAAUGAAAUAGGACGCUUGAUCCUAUUUCGUUGGUUUCUAGGAUCGACGUAAUGAUUAAUAGGGAUAGUUGGGGGCAUUAGUAUUCAAUUGUCAGAGGUGAAAUUCUUGGAUUUAUUGAAGACUAACUACUGCGAAAGCAUUUGCCAAGGAUGUUUUCAUUAAUCAAGAACGAAAGUUAGGGGAUCGAAGACGAUCAGAUACCGUCGUAGUCUUAACCAUAAACUAUGCCGACUAGGGAU
rnacentral:sRNA from 1 species